GGGUUGUGAGGUUAAGCGACUAAGCGUACACGGUGGAUGCCCUGGCAGUCAGAGGCGAUGAAGGACGUGCUAAUCUGCGAAAAGCGUCGGUAAGGUGAUAUGAACCGUUACAGCCGGCGAUGUCCGAAUGGGGAAACCCAGUGUGAUUCGUCACACUAUCGUUAACUGAAUACAUAGGUUAACGAGGCGAACCGGGGGAACUGAAACAUCUAAGUACCCCGAGGAAAAGAAAUCAACCGAGAUUCCCCCAGUAGCGGCGAGCGAACGGGGAGCAGCCCAGAGUCUGAAUCAGCUUGUGUGUUAGUGGAACGGUCUGGAAAGUCCGACGGUACAGGGUGAUAGUCCCGUACACCAAAAUGCACAGGUUGUGAACUCGAAGAGUAGGGCGGGACACGUGGUAUCCUGUCUGAAUAUGGGGGGACCAUCCUCCAAGGCUAAAUACUCCUGACUGACCGAUAGUGAACCAGUACCGUGAGGGAAAGGCGAAAAAGAACCCCGGCGAGGGGAGUGAAAAAAGAACCUGAAACCGUGUACGUACAAGCAGUGGGAGCACCUUCGGGUGUGACUGCGUACCUUUUGUAUAAUGGGUCAGCGACUUAUAUUCUGUAGCAAGGUUAACCGUAUAGGGGAGCCGCAGGGAAACCGAGUCUUAACUGGGCGUUAAGUUGCAGGGUAUAGACCCGAAACCCGGUGAUCUAGCCAUGGGCAGGUUGAAGGUUGGGUAACACUAACUGGAGGACCGAACCGACUAAUGUUGAAAAAAUUAGCGGAUGACUUGUGGCUGGGGGUGAAAGGCCAAUCAAACCGGGAGAUAGCUGGUUCUCCCCGAAAGCUAUUUAGGUAGCGCCUCGUGAACUCAUCUUCGGGGGUAGAGCACUGUUUCGGCUAGGGGGUCAUCCCGACUUACCAACCCGAUGCAAACUACGAAUACCGAAGAAUGUUAUCACGGGAGACACACGGCGGGUGCUAACGUCCGUCGUGAAGAGGGAAACAACCCAGACCGCCAGCUAAGGUCCCAAAGUCAUGGUUAAGUGGGAAACGAUGUGGGAAGGCACAGACAGCCAGGAUGUUGGCUUAGAAGCAGCCAUCAUUUAAAGAAAGCGUAAUAGCUCACUGGUCGAGUCGGCCUGCGCGGAAGAUGUAACGGGGCUAAACCAUGCACCGAAGCUGCGGCAGCGACACUAUGUGUUGUUGGGUAGGGGGAGCGUUCUGUAAGCCUGCGAAGGUGUGCUGUGAGGCAUGCUGGAGGUAUCAGAAGUGCGAAUGCUGACAUAAGUAACGAUAAAGCGGGUGAAAAGCCCGCUCGCCGGAAGACCAAGGGUUCCUGUCCAACGUUAAUCGGGGCAGGGUGAGUCGACCCCUAAGGCGAGGCCGAAAGGCGUAGUCGAUGGGAAACAGGUUAAUAUUCCUGUACUUGGUGUUACUGCGAAGGGGGGACGGAGAAGGCUAUGUUAGCCGGGCGACGGUUGUCCCGGUUUAAGCAUGUAGGCUGAUUAUCCAGGCAAAUCCGGAUAAUCAAGGCUGAGGUGUGAUGACGAGGCACUACGGUGCUGAAGUAACAAAUGCCCUGCUUCCAGGAAAAGCCUCUAAGCAUCAGGUAACAUCAAAUCGUACCCCAAACCGACACAGGUGGUCAGGUAGAGAAUACCAAGGCGCUUGAGAGAACUCGGGUGAAGGAACUAGGCAAAAUGGUGCCGUAACUUCGGGAGAAGGCACGCUGGUGUGUAGGUGAAGUCCCUGCGGAUGGAGCUGAGACCAGUCGAAGAUACCAGCUGGCUGCAACUGUUUAUUAAAAAACACAGCACUGUGCAAACACGAAAGUGGACGUAUACGGUGUGACGCCUGCCCGGUGCCGGAAGGUUAAUUGAUGGGGUUAUCCGUAAGGAGAAGCUCUUGAUCGAAGCCCCGGUAAACGGCGGCCGUAACUAUAACGGUCCUAAGGUAGCGAAAUUCCUUGUCGGGUAAGUUCCGACCUGCACGAAUGGCGUAAUGAUGGCCAGGCUGUCUCCACCCGAGACUCAGUGAAAUUGAACUCGCUGUGAAGAUGCAGUGUACCCGCGGCAAGACGGAAAGACCCCGUGAACCUUUACUAUAGCUUGACACUGAACAUUGAGCCUUGAUGUGUAGGAUAGGUGGGAGGCUUUGAAGCGUGGACGCCAGUCUGCGUGGAGCCAACCUUGAAAUACCACCCUUUAAUGUUUGAUGUUCUAACGUUGGCCCCUUACCGGGGUUGCGGACAGUGUCUGGUGGGUAGUUUGACUGGGGCGGUCUCCUCCCAAAGCGUAACGGAGGAGCACGAAGGUUAGCUAAUCCUGGUCGGACAUCAGGAGGUUAGUGCAAUGGCAUAAGCUAGCUUGACUGCGAGCGUGACGGCGCGAGCAGGUGCGAAAGCAGGUCAUAGUGAUCCGGUGGUUCUGAAUGGAAGGGCCAUCGCUCAACGGAUAAAAGGUACUCCGGGGAUAACAGGCUGAUACCGCCCAAGAGUUCAUAUCGACGGCGGUGUUUGGCACCUCGAUGUCGGCUCAUCACAUCCUGGGGCUGAAGUAGGUCCCAAGGGUAUGGCUGUUCGCCAUUUAAAGUGGUACGCGAGCUGGGUUUAGAACGUCGUGAGACAGUUCGGUCCCUAUCUGCCGUGGGCGCUGGAGAAUUGAGGGGGGCUGCUCCUAGUACGAGAGGACCGGAGUGGACGCAUCACUGGUGUUCGGGUUGUCAUGCCAAUGGCACUGCCCGGUAGCUAAAUGCGGAAGAGAUAAGUGCUGAAAGCAUCUAAGCACGAAACUUGCCCCGAGAUGAGUUCUCCCUGAGACUUUAAGUCUCCUGAAGGAACGUUAAAGACGAUGACGUUGAUAGGCCGGGUGUGUAAGCGCAGCGAUGCGUUGAGCUAACCGGUACUAAUGAACCGUGAGGCUUAACCUUACAACGCCGAAG
rnacentral:rRNA from 1 species